GAUGAAGAACGUAGUGAAAUGCGAUAAGUAGUGUGAAUUGCAGAAUUCAGUGAAUCAUCGAAUCUUUGAACGCACAUUGCGCCCCUUGGUAUUCCAUGGGGCAUGCCUGUUCGAGCGUCAUUUGUACCUUCAAGCUCUGCUUGGUGUUGGGUGUUUGUCUCGCCUCUGCGUGUAGACUCGCCUCAAAAUAAUUGGCAGCCGGCGUAUUGAUUUCGGAGUGCAGUACAUCUCGCGCUUUGCACUCAUAACGACGACGUCCAAAAGUACAUUUUUACACUCUUGACCUCGGAUCAGGUAGGGAUACCCGCUGAACUUAAGCAUAUCAAUAAGCGGAGGA
rnacentral:misc_RNA from 1 species